rnacentral:rRNA from 1 species
GAUGAACGCUGGCGGCGUGCCUAAUACAUGCAAGUCGAGCGAACGGACGAGAAGCUUGCUUUUCUGAUGUUAGCGGCGGACGGGUGAGUAACACGUGGAUAACCUACCUAUAAGACUGGGAUAACUUCGGGAAACCGGAGCUAAUACCGGAUAAUAUUUUGAACCGCAUGGUUCAAAAGUGAGAGACGGUCUUGCUGUCACUUAUAGAUGGAUCCGCGCUGCAUUAGCUAGUUGGUAAGGUAACGGCUUACCAAGGCAACGAUGCAUAGCCGACCUGAGAGGGUGAUCGGCCACACUGGAACUGAGACACGGUCCAGACUCCUACGGGAGGCAGCAGUAGGGAAUCUUCCGCAAUGGGCGAAAGCCUGACGGAGCAACGCCGCGUGAGUGAUGAAGGUCUUCGGAUCGUAAAACUCUGUUAUUAGGGAAGAACAUAUGUGUAAGUAACUGAGCACAUCUUGACGGUACCUAAUCAGAAAGCCACGGCUAACUACGUG